rnacentral:rRNA from 1 species
UACGGGGGGGGCAAGCGUUGUUCGGAAUUACUGGGCGUAAAGGGUUCGUAGGUGGCUUGUUAAGUCAGACGUGAAAUCCCUCGGCUCAACCGGGGAACUGCGUCUGAGACUGAUGAGCUCGAGUGCAGGAGAGGAACGCGGAAUUCCAGGUGUAGCGGUGAAAUGCGUAGAUAUCGGGAGGAACACCUGCGGUGUAGACGGCUUUCUGGACCAUUACUGACGCUGAGACACGAAAGCGUGGGUAGCAAACAGG